CCUACGGGAGGCAGCAGUGGGGAAUAUUGCACAAUGGGGGAAAGCCUGAUGCAGCGACGCCGCGUGAGUGAAGAAGUCUUUCGGUAUGUAAAGCUCUAUCAGCAGGGACGAAGAAAGACGGUUACUGCCUCAGUAACCCCCGCUAACUACGUGCCCGCAGCCGCGGUAAUAAGUAGGGGGCAAGCGUUAUCCGGAUUUACUGGGUGGAAAGGGAGCGUAGACGGCUGUGCAACUCUGAAGGGAAAGCCCAGGGCUCAACCCUGGGACUGCAUUGGAACCUGUGGAGCUAGAGUGCUGGAGAGGUAAGUGGAAUUCCUAGUGUAGCGGUGAAAUGCGUAGAUAUUAGGAGGAACACCAGUGGCGAAGGCGGCUUACUGGACAGUAACUGACGGUGAGGCUCGAAAGCGUGGGGAGCAAACAGGAUUAGAUACCCCAGUAGUC
rnacentral:rRNA from 1 species